CCUACGGGAGGCAGCAGUGGGGAAUAUUGGACAAUGGGCGAAAGCCUGAUCCAGCAAUGCCGCGUGAGUGAAGAAGGCCUUCGGGUUGUAAAGCUCUUUUACCCGGGAAGAUAAUGACUGUACCGGGAGAAUAAGCUCCGGCUAACUCCGUGCCAGCAGCCGCGGUAAUACGGAGGGAGCUAGCGUUGUUCGGAAUUACUGGGCGUAAAGCGUACGUAGGCGGCUUGGUAAGUCAGAGGUGAAAGCCCACGACUCAAUCGUGGAACUGCCUUUGAGACUGCUUCGCUUGAAGAUGGGAGAGGUUAGUGGAAUUCCGAGUGUAGAGGUGAAAUUCGUAGAUAUUCGGAAGAACACCAGUGGCGAAGGCGGCUAACUGGACCAUUCUUGACGCUGAGGUACGAAAGCGUGGGGAGCAAACAGGAUUAGAUACCCUGGUAGUCCACGCCGUAAACGAUGAUAACUAGCUGUCGGGGCUCUUGGAGCUUCGGUGGCGCAGCUAACGCAUUAAGUUAUCCGCCUGGGGAGUACGGCCGCAGGUUAAACUUAAAUGAAUUGACGG
rnacentral:rRNA from 1 species